AUACAUGCAGUCGUGGGGCAGCAGGUUUGUAGCAAUACAGAUGCUGGCGACCGGCAAACGGGUGCGUAACACGUACGCAACUUACCCACUACUGGGGAAUAGCCCAGGGAAACUUGGAUUAAUACCCCAUAUUAUAUAGGAUUGGCAUCAAUCUUAUAUCAAAGCUUCGGCGGUAGUGGAUGGGCGUGCGGUUGAUUAGAUAGUUGGCGGGGUAACGGCCCACCAAGUCUACGAUCAAUAGCUGAUGUGAGAGCAUGAUCAGCCACACGGGCACUGAGACACGGGCCCGACUCCUACGGGAGGCAGCAGUAAGGAAUAUUGGGCAAUGGACGCAAGUCUGACCCAGCCAUGCCGCGUGAAGGAUGACGGUCCUCUGGAUUGUAAACUUCUUUUAUCUGGGGCGAAAACCACCCUUUCUAGGGUAUUUGACAGUACCAGAUGAAUAAGCACCGGCUAACUCCGUGCCAGCAGCCGCGGUAAUACGGAGGGUGCAAGCGUUAUCCGGAUUCACUGGGUUUAAAGGGUGCGUAGGCGGGCAGGUAAGUCAGUGGUGAAAUCUUCGAGCUUAACUCGGAAACUGCCGUUGAUACUAUCUGUCUUGAAUUUAGUGGAGGUAAGCGGAAUAUGUCAUGUAGCGGUGAAAUGCUUAGAUAUGACAUAGAACACCAAUUGCGAAGGCAGCUUGCUACACUAUUAUUGACGCUGAGGCACGAAAGCGUGGGGAUCAAACAGGAUUAGAUACCCUGGUAGUCCACGCCCUAAACGAUGAUUACUCGACAUCAGCGAUACACUGUUGGUGUCUAAGCUAAAGCAUUAAGUAAUCCACCUGGGAAGUACGAUCGCAGAUUGAAACUCAAGGAAUUGGCGGGGGUCCGCACAGCGGUGGAGCAUGUGAUUAAUUCGAUGAUACGCGAG
rnacentral:rRNA from 1 species